rnacentral:rRNA from 1 species
CNGACUUGCGANUGGGCGAAGCCUGACGCAGCAACGCCGCGUGGGGGAAGAAGGCCUUCGGGUCGUAAACCCCUUUUGCAGGGGAAGAAGCUCUGACGGUACCCUGCGAAUAAGCCACGGCUAACUACGUGCCAGCAGCCGCGGUAAUACGUAGGGGGCGAGCGUUGUCCGGAAUCAUUGGGCGUAAAGCGCGUGUAGGCGGCUUGCCAAGUCCGAUGUGAAAUCUCGGGGCUCAACCCCGAAACUGCAUUGGAAACUGGUUUGCUAGAGUCCGGAAGAGGAGAGUGGAAUUCCUGGUGUAGCGGUGAAAUGCGCAGAUAUCAGGAAGAACACCGGUGGCGAAGGCGGCUCUCUGGGACGGUACUGACGCUGAGACGCGAAAGCGUGGGUAGCGAACAGGAUUAGAUACCCUGGUAGUCCACGCCGUAAACGAUGGGCACUAGGUGUGGGGGGUGUCGACUCCCUCCGUGCCGCAGCUAACGCAUUAAGUGCCCCGCCUGGGGAGUACGGCCGCAAGGCUAAAACUCAAAAGAAUUGACGGA